rnacentral:rRNA from 1 species
UACGUAGGUGGCAAGCGUUUGUCCGGAAUUAUUGGGCGUAAAGCGCGCGCAGGCGGUCCCUUAAGUCUGAUGUGAAAGCCCACGGCUCAACCGUGGAGGGUCAUUGGAAACUGGGGGACUUGAGUACAGAAGAGGAAAGCGGAAUUCCACGUGUAGCGGUGAAAUGCGUAGAGAUGUGGAGGAACACCAGUGGCGAAGGCGGCUUUCUGGUCUGUAACUGACGCUGAGGCGCGAAAGCGUGGGGAGCAAACAGG